UCUUAUCCUGAGCUGGUGGAGGGACUGGCCCGAUGAAACCCAGCAACCUACUAUGUGAAGAAAAUUACUGAACCAUUUUAUGUUUACGUGAGAUGGAACGGACAUUCUCUUAGGAAAGGUGCUAACCUGAAGCAAGGAAAUAUUCCUUGAACGAUAAGA
rnacentral:ncRNA from 1 species